GAAGGAGUUGGUCCUUGUAUAGCUUCUGCUUCUCCCGCGGCUGCUUAGGGAUGCCCUGGACGUUAAGCUUCAGCUCGAACACCGUGCUCGACUCCUUGACUUCAGUGAAGAUGGUGGUCUUAUGGCUCCCGAUCAUGAGAAACGCGUCCUGAAGACACCAGGCUGACAUCAGUGCUUGUCUGAAGCAACCUGCCGGGCCCCAGAGCCCCUGAAGCCCCACCCCCCCGCCAGCCCUGCGCCGCUCCUCCGGUGCCCGCUCACCUAUGUUUUAUCUUUGAUGUUAUAUGCAUCGGUGUUUUGCUUGCAUGUCUGUCUGCCUGGGUGCGGUUAUCAGAUGUCCUGGAACUGGUUAUGGACAAUUUUUGAGCUGCCAUGUAGGUGCUUGGAAUUGAACCCAGGUCUUCUGGAAGAGCAACCAGUGCCGCUAACCACUGAGCCAUCUCUAGAGCCCCUGCUUGGUUUUUUGUUUUGUUUUUUGUUUUUUUCUUGAUCACUGAAAGUUUCUCCGCUCCAGUGACCAGCAUCAAGUAUCACAGCAAAGCAAAGGUUUCAUCUAGUGGCCUGGUAUCUUGUGAACCACAGCUGAUUCUCCAAACCUCACUUAAUCAGAACCACCAGGAAGGAUCUUGGCAAGACCGGAGAGCCUGCUGAUACUCAGGAUUACUUUUGGCUGAAAGACUAUUUCUCUACACAUUAGAAUGGCUAUUCCAUCAUGCUUCUUGGGUUAGCCUGCACCUACAAUCUUUGUCCAUCGCUUUAUUCUGAGAUCUGGUUCCAGAACUGAUGUGCUAGAGAGUACCAGAAGAAGGCUCAAAAACUACCCGGGAAGC
rnacentral:lncRNA from 1 species